CCAAUAGCGUAUAUUAAAGUUGUUGCAGUUAAAAAGCUCGUAGUUGAAUUUCGGGAUCAAUAUAUCGGUCGUGCCAUUGGUACGUACUGGUAUCAUUGGUUUCUCCUUUCUGACGAACCAUGAUGUCAUUAAUUUGGUGUUAUGGGAAGUUAGGACUGUUACUUUGAAAAAAUUAGAGUGUUUAAAGCAGGCUCACGCUUGAAUACAUUAGCAUGGAAUAAUGAAAUAGGACGUUUGAUUCUAUUUUGUUGGUUUCUAGGAUCGACGUAAUGAUUAAUAGGGAUAGUUUGGGGCAUUAGUAUUCAAUUGUCAGAGGUGAAAUUCUUGGAUUUAUUGAAGACUAACUACUGCGAAAGCAUUUGCCAAGGAUGUUUUCAUUAAUCAAGAACGAAAGUUAGGGGAUCGAAGACGAUCAGAUACCGUCGUAGUCUUAACCAUAAACUAUGCCGACUAGGGAUCGGAUGAUGUUAAUUUUUUAAUGACUCAUUCGGCGCCUUACG
rnacentral:misc_RNA from 1 species